CAUAACCCUAAAUUCUGAUCAAUAUUCUUAAAUGCUAAUUAAUUUCCCCAUUUGAAAAUCUCUUCCUCUUCUUGUUCUUCUUCUUAGCGUCAAAAAGGAGUAGUGAAUUAAAUUGUAGCUAUUUAAUUAAUCAGAUUUAGAGAGAAGGCGGAGGACAUUAUAAUUAGGGGGAAAAUUAUGGCGACGGAGGUGAAUAUGGGCGGGAGCUGCAAAAAGAGUGCCCCAUCCCCAUGCGCCGCGUGCAAGCUUCUGCGGCGGCGGUGCUCUCAGGACUGCGUAUUUGGCCCUUAUUUCCCAGCCGACCAGCCCCACAAAUUCUCCUGCGUCCAUAAAGUCUUUGGAGCUAGUAAUGUCAGCAAGUUGUUGCAGAGAAUAGGAAGUGGCAGAGGAGCAGCGGAGCGACGCGGUGAGUUCGAUUGUGUACGAAGCGAAGGCGAGAAUAAAAGACCCGGUUUACGGGUGCGUGGGAACAAUAUCGAGCCUACAGCGGCAAGUGGAGGCACUCCAAGAGCAACUGGCCAUCACCCAGGCCCAGCUGCUCCACUUGAAAAUGGCCCAAUGCCCCACUCCCCACAAUGUCAAUCUCUGCUCUUCCUAGCUGCCUUUUAAUUUACCUUUCCUUUUUCCCCCACCUCUUACUUUUAAGUCUACCUUUUACUUUUUACACUAUAUUGAGUGUAACCAACCCUUUGGACUUCUUUAGUUUGACAUAUAUACAUUUCAUUCAUCAUAUAUAUAUUAUUAACUUCAUAUAUCUUAUGGUUAGAUCAUUAGACAGAAUUGUGUCACUUU